GCAGUAGCCGCGGGAAUACAGAGGGUGCGAGCGUUAAUCGGAUUUACUGGGCGUAAAGCGUGCGUAGGCGGCUUCUUAAGUCGGAUGUGAAAUCCCUGAGCUUAACUUAGGAAUUGCAUUCGAUACUGGGAAGCUAGAGUAUGGGAGAGGAUGGUAGAAUUCCAGGUGUAGCGGUGAAAUGCGUAGAGAUCUGGAGGAAUACCGAUGGCGAAGGCAGCCAUCUGGCCUAAUACUGACGCUGAGGUACGAAAGCAUGGGGAGCAAACAGGAUUAGAUACCCGUGUAGUCCCUGUCUCUUAUAA
rnacentral:rRNA from 1 species